UACGGAGGGUGCUAGCGUUGUUCGGAAUUACUGGGCGUAAAGUGUGCGCAGGCGGCAGAGCAAGUCGAGUGUGAAAGCCCCGGGUUUAACUUGGGAAUUGCGCUCGAAACUACUUUGCUGGAGUGUGGCAGAGGAAGGUGGAAUUCCACGUGUAGCGGUGAAAUGCGUAGAGAUGUGGAGGAACACCAAUGGCGAAGGCAGCCUUCUGGGCCAACACUGACGCUCAUGCACGAAAGCGUGGGGAGCAAACAGG
rnacentral:rRNA from 1 species